rnacentral:rRNA from 1 species
CCUUCAUCUGGGGGAUAGCCCGGAGAAAUCCGGAUUAAUACCGCAUAAAAUCACAGUACUGCAUAGUACAAUGAUCAAACAUUUAUGGGAUGGGGAUGGGCAUGCGUGUCAUUAGCUAGUUGGCGGGGUAACGGCCCACCAAGGCGACGAUGACUAGGGGAUCUGAGAGGAUGGCCCCCCACACUGGUACUGAGACACGGACCAGACUCCUACGGGAGGC